rnacentral:rRNA from 1 species
CCGUGCAAAGGUAGCAUAAUCAUUUGUCUCUUAAAUAGGGACCUGUAUGAACGGCAUCACGAAGAUUUUACUGUCUCCCCCCACCAAUCUGUGAAACUAAUCCCCCUGUGAAAAAGCAGGAAUAUAAAUACAAGACGAGAAGACCCUGUGGAGCUUAAAACUAGUAACACUUGCUUGUCCUCCUAAAACAUCUCCACUCAGCAUUAUGCUUACACCUUUUUGGUUGGGGCAACCACGGAGAAAAACCAAACCUCCACGCUGUUUAUAUUUCAGAACCUCAAUUCCACAAAUCAUUAAAUUGACACAUUGACCCAUACACUUGAUCAACGAACUAAGUUACCCCAGGGAUAACAGCGCCAUCCACUUCGAGAGCACAUAUCGACAGGUGGGCUUACGACCUCGAUG